rnacentral:rRNA from 1 species
UACGAAGGGGGCUAGCGUUGUUCGGAAUUACUGGGCGUAAAGGGCGCGUAGGCGGUCCUGAUCGUCGGAUGUGAAAUCCCAAGGCUCAACCUUGGAACUGCCUUUGAUACUGGGGAUCUCGAGUCCGGAAGAGGUGAGUGGAACUGCGAGUGUAGAGGUGAAAUUCGUAGAUAUUCGCAAGAACACCAGUGGCGAAGGCGGCUCACUGGCCCGAUACUGACGCUGAGGUGCGAAAGCGUGGGGAGCAAACAGGG